GGCCUUUGUUAGUCUUGUAUUAUUUUAAUUUUAGUUUCUUGUGUACAAUUUGGAAAUUAGUAUGGCGUUCAUUAUCACUGGACUAGUAUAUAUUUGUUUAGGGGCCAGCUGAAGGACGCCUCCGGGUGUGGGAAUUUCUCGCUACAUUGAAGACCUGUUGGUGACCCUCUGCUGUUGUUUUUUAUUUGGUCGGGUUGUUGUCUCUUUGACACAUUCCCCAUUUCCAUUCUCAAUUUUAUAAUGUAUUU
rnacentral:lncRNA from 1 species